AAGUCGUAACAAGGUUUCCGUAGGUGAACCUGCGGAAGGAUCAUUAAUACGCUUUUGUUUGUAACAAAACAAAACGUUUUAAACUCCAAAAGAAAUAGUGGAAAUAUAACUUCCGGAUGCGAAUGUUGGGAACUGAGUAAAAUCGGUUCUUUGGAAAGGGACUUCAAGCAAUUGACACUUCAGAGUAGAGCAGUGAGGUGAAAUUCUCUUUAUGAGAGUUUGGUUCUGAAAAACAUUUGUAUCCGGUUAUGAUAAUCUGUUCUACAAGUUCUAUCAAACAAUAAACCCCAUGUACAACAACUUGAACUAAACAUUUUUUUGUUGUCUAUUCUUGCACUUGUGUGAGAAGAGACCACAAAGAAAAAACCUGAACUUAAGAACAACUCUUAACAACGGAUAUCUUGGUUCUC
rnacentral:misc_RNA from 1 species